rnacentral:lncRNA from 1 species
AGAUAUUGAAGAAACGGACGUUUAGGCUUCGUUUCCGCCUGGAGGGCCGAGGCGACGUCUAAAAAUCAUGAGAAUGGAUCCGGAGUAUCGUGGCAUCAAGUUAUAGACCUUUAAUUUUCGGAUUGCGGAUUGGUGGCCGUUUGGUGGUCGAGUGCGAGUUCGGGCCGAAUCGGGCAACGGGUGCGGCGGGAGGUUGAUUGCAAGUGACUAUAAGCAAUCGGAAAGCGAUUUGAGGUGGGUUGUG